UUUUACAUCUACAUCACUGGACUAAUACGGCUAUAAUCUCUCUCUCUCUUUAUAUACAUAUAUCCCUCUCUCUCUCUAUAUAUAUAUAUCUAUAUCUAUCUAUAUAUAGAGAGAGAGAGACAGAGAGAGAAACAAAUAGAGAUUGUAGCCGUAUUAGUCCAGUGAUGUAGAUGUAAAA